rnacentral:rRNA from 1 species
UGAGGAAUAUUGGUCAAUGGGCGGGAGCCUGAACCAGCCAAGCCGCGUGGAGGAAGAAGGCCCUUCGGGUCGUAAACUCCUUUUGCCGGGGAAUAAAAGGCGCCACGCGUGGCGUUCCGAAUGUACCCGGAGAACAAGCAUCGGCUAACUCCGUGCCAGCAGCCGCGGUAAUACGGAGGAUGCGAGCGUUAUCCGGAUUUAUUGGGUUUAAAGGGUGCGUAGGCGGUCUCUUAAGGCAGCGGUGAAAUUCCGGGGCUCAACCCCGGCGAGCCGUUGAAACUGGGAGACUGGAGUCGGUGAAAGGUACGCGGAAUGCGCGGUGUAGCGGUGAAAUGCAUAGAUAUCGCGCAGAACUCCGAUCGCGAAGGCAGCGUACCGGCGCCGCACUGACGCUGAGGCACGAAAGCGUGGGUAUCGAACAGG